rnacentral:rRNA from 1 species
CCUACGGGUGGCAGCAGUGGGGAAUAUUGCACAAUGGGGGAAACCCUGAUGCAGCGACGCCGCGUGAGGGAAGAAGGUCUUCGGAUUGUAAACCUCUGUCUUUGGUGACGAAAGAUGACGGUAGCCAAAGAUGAAGCUACGGCUAACUACGGGCAAGCAGCCGCGGUAAUACGUAGGUGGCAAGCGGUGUCCGGAAUUACUGGGUGUAAAGGGUGCGUAGGUGGGAAGACAAGUCGAAUGUUUAAACUAUCGGCUCAACCGAUGAUCGCGUUCAAAACUGGUUUUCUUGAGUGAGGUAGAGGCAGGCGGAAUUCCUAGUGUAGCGGUGAAAUGCGUAGAUAUUAGGAAGAACACCAGUGGCGAAGGCAGCCUACUGGGCUUUAACUGACGCUGAGGCACGAAAGCGUGGGUAGCAAACAGGAUUAGAUACCCCAGUAGUC